CCUGACGACCAUAGCGAGUGGGAACCACCUGACCCCAUGCCGAACUCAGCAGUGAAACCGCUCAGCGCCGAUGGUAGUGUGGGGUCUCCCCAUG
rnacentral:rRNA from 1 species